UACGAAGGGGGCUAGCGUUGCUCGGAAUCACUGGGCGUAAAGCGCACGUAGGCGGCUUCUUAAGUCAGGGGUGAAAUCCUGGAGCUCAACUCCAGAACUGCCCUUGAUACUGAGGAGCUCGAGUCCGGAAGAGGCGAGUGGAAUUCCUGGUGUAGCGGUGGAAUGCGCAGAUAUCAGGAGGAACACCAAUAGCGAAGGCAGCUCGCUGGGACGGUACUGACGCUAAGGCGCGAAAGCGUGGGGAGCGAACAGG
rnacentral:rRNA from 1 species